GGAACUGUAACCAGGUCUCCUAAGUCUUUCUGCAGCAUGGCCCUGGCCCCUGAGGGAGGUGGCCCACGAUGGGGGCGGGCAGGGGGUCUGGAAUCUUGGCAUCAUGCUCCGGGGCUGCUCCUUCUUCCUGUUCAGCCACCACAGCAAAUAAGAGCCCCUGGGGCCUCAGCCAGCGACUGACCCCUCCCUGACCCUGCCUUCCGGAAGGAUGAAUGCACAUCAGAAGCCAGGGCCAAAAUAUUCCUGGACACUGUCUGCUCUGCACCCAGCUCUCUUUUUCCCAGCCUCUUAGGAGGGAGAAGUUUCCAAAACGGACAGCUCCAAAGGCUUUCACAGAAAGGGAGCCUCUCUAGGAAGCGCUCCUGCGUUUGGGCAAUGGAGGAGGAGGAUGGAUAUUCUUCUGUUGUGGGUUUCAAUUCCAUGCUGUCAAAUAACCUCUUUAGUCCAAUGCUCUGCCACUUUCAGCCAGGCGUAAGCAAGACAAUUGUCACUGAACAUUAUUGGGAGAAACAUGCAAUGGCACAUGCACUAAUGCAAACAUCAGAAGGAAGACCCAGAGUCUAGUCUGGCCCUAUCGCUUCUGCAUAGCUUUGGCCUGAGUCACUUAACCCUUCCGAGUGUUGGUCUACUCAUCUGCUAAGUGGGACAAUAACUUCUGACAAGGCUGCUAGGAAGAUUACAUUGAGAGUGCACUGGUGAUUAUUCAGCAUGUGAGGGAGGGCCUCCGUGGAGUAGAUGGCUCAGAUCCCCUGACUCCCAGUGCACACUCCUCACACAUGGCUGCACCUCUUUUGGCCUCAGGGGCCAGCGAGGAGCCUACCAACAAGGUGAGGUGAAGAGCAAAGAGAAUCGGUGAUGGAAAUGGAAGCCAGAAGUCAGGGCUUGCAAGCUCAGCCCUUUUCAAGUCCUCUGAGAAGUAAAUCAGCUGAGGGUCAGACCCCAAGGAGCUUCACGGCCAGCAUCUCAGCCUGGUUUCCUCUCUUUUCCUCGCAUCACAUUCAGUGACCUAUCAGUCUAGAUAGAGGGUGCUUUUUCAAAUACACCCUUUUCCAACUUGUCUAGGAGAACAAUCAUAGAUUUUGAUCCCAAAGUUAAAUUGGCCUGUCAGAUACAAAGCUUUCUGGAGCCAGCCAGCGUCUCAGGAUAUCCCACACUCCUCCCAAAUGCAUUACCACCCAGCAGGUAGUGUCAUCGCAGUUUCUCUAGUUUCAGAAUAAUAACUAGUGGGAAAUGCCCAUGGAAUUGACACUCAGCACUUUGAAGAUUUUAUCAAUUGGAUUGGAGACAACAUAGUAGACAACCAUGAAUAUUAGUGAGGUCAUUCAACCAAAAUCAUGCUGAGAAUAAUAUCCAAGUCCUGUGAGCAAUUAUGAAAUCCAUGCACCAAGGAGGAUGUUGGAUGUGGUGGUGUCCAAUGAGAUGAAAACUGGAGUGGAAUUCAGAUGGAGUUUCAGCAGAACUAUUUUCACCUGGUGGCCUUUUGGCCUUACUGUCCUUAUAGUUUCUUCUCACUGUCUCUUUUUCACAUACUUGGCAUUUCUCUGGAGGAAAAUGUGUCUUGCCACUGCAUUCACUUUUCAGCUGGUGGCUCAUGCUACCAAAACAAUGGAAGUCAACAAAAGACUUGAGACAUUGCUUCAGUGUGAAUAGAAACAAGCCUAGAAAUGUAAUUUUAGUUAGUGAUCAUAAUACAUAUCCGUGAAACUAACCUUCUCUACGUCUCCCCACUUCCUGGUUGUGAGUUAGGCACCAACUCUUCCAGGUCAUCUAGCUAUAAUGCAAAACAUUACAGAACUAAAUGGGGACCCCAAGAGGUCAUCUAACCCAUGCCCCGAACUCUAUGCAAGAGAAAUGCUUGGCUAUCAGUGAGUUCCCCAUCAGCCUCGACAGUCUAAAAUGCUUGGUGUCCAAAGAACUGCUUGUCUAUUUGUUUUAGGCACCAAGGUGUUUCUCCUGUGCUCCCUGGAGACCAAAUGUAACUGGUCAGUGCCUUUAUCUCAGUGAUACACAUAAUAACAGCUAUUAAGUGACCCCUAAUUCUUUUCCCCAAGUUAAACAACCCCAAAUCCACAAACCUUUCCUUAAAGGGCUUAUUGCUCAUCCUGUUAAACAUAUUGUUAAUAAGCGUUUCUGCACUUUUUGGAUUUUCCACAGUCUUUUUCAGCUAAUUCAAACACAGUGGUGUCAAAUAUUAAAUAGAGCUGAAGCAUUGCUUCCCAGACCUUCCACAUCAUUCCCAGUUUAACACAGCUUGGUUAUCAUGCUUUCUUAAAAAUAAACAACACAAUACUCCUCCAGCUUGUGUUCCACUAUGACUUCCAGAUCUAUCUCAGCUAUAAUUGUGCCUUGCCAGGUAAUGGCCAAUAAUACAAUCAACAUAAUCCAGUCAAGCAGAUUGACGCUAAACCAUUGAUGACCACUGUCAUCACCUCUCAAAAAAGUAUUUCCUAGUCUGAUGUAAAGAAAUAUCAGGUAACCAAACGGUGUGUGUUGUUCACAUCAUGUUUAAUAAAAUACAAAGCAUAGCACUUUCUUUUAGUCUGAAGACUCUUUCUCCUCCUGGUCUAUGCCUGAAAACUAACUUCUGGGUGACUUCAUAUGUGAUCACAGGGUAGAGCUUGGAAAAAAUGAAGCAGAUAUUUAACAUGCUUAUCCCAAACACUGCCCCUUUUCAGGAAACUUGGAGGUAACUGGGGCAACUUAGCAAUAAACCCCACUGAAAGUUAUCCUGAGGUCUGAAAGUCACUGAUCCUCUCAGCACAAUGGAGUGUCCACUAACAAUGGCUAAAGAGCGUCUCUUCGAUAAACUUAGCUUGACUACUACCACCUAUCAUGACUAGCUCAUCGACCACCCUUCCGGAUCAUUCCAUGUGCAACUAGUAAGAAGGUUUCAAUUCAGUAGUAGGUCUGGUAUCAUUAAUCUUCUCCACCAUCCAAGGAAGAACAUGUUAUCUUAUUGGUUGUUUUGGGAGGUGAAGUAAGAAUUUGGGAAAGUGUGAUUCUGAAUAUGAAGAAUCUGAGUACUUAGGAAGAAAUAUAUCUCAGCAACAUCCUCAACAUUCCAUAGUUAACCACUUUAAGGAGCCACAGCCAUUAAAGAAUCUGUGCUCACCACAAAGAGACCAUUUCUCUAACGGCAACAACUCCACAUCUCCCAAGUUGGGCCCCACUCAGUGUUCCCUAUCAUUUGUCUCAUACAGAUGAAACUCUAACAUCUAUGUUCACUUAACUCAUAAGACCCAAGUUACUAGAGAUGAAUAAUAUUAGUCGUGAUGUCCAUAACAGAGAGUCACUGUUACGCAUGGCUGGAUUAUUCAUAGACACUUCUAGUAAACAUGGCACUACUGCAGUUUGGACUCUGUACCAAAACUAGAAAAACUAGUAAACAGCUUUCCAAAAUCUUGUGGUGAGAUUUUUCUGGCUGUGAAACAUUUUUUGCAUUUGGCCAUGAAACAGUUUACAGUACCGAUCAUGAAAUGCAUCAGUAGCCUUUCACCUGGUCAUGUGAAAUUCUCUUUCCUUAGUCCUGAAGCUUAGAAAAUGUCCUAUUACCACCACCACCACCACCCCCAACUAAGCAGUGCAAUACUCUCAUUUCUAAAUUAGGGAUCAACAAACUAUGUCUUGUGGGCCAAAUCUGGCCAACUGCUUAUUUUUGUAAAUAAAGUUUUAUUGGAACACAGCCACGCCCAUUCCUGUACAUAUCCUCUACAGCUGUUUUCAUGCUUCACCCAGAGCUGAGUAGUUAUGACAGAUGUUUGCCUUACAAAGCCUUAAAUAUUUACUAUCUGGUGUGUUACAGGAGAAAUUUGCUGAUCCCCAUUAUAAAUGAUAAGGCAAAAAAAUCGCUUAUUCAGAAUAACCUCCUCUCCAACCCAACAAAAGUAAACAAAACCAGAAAACAACCAUGACCCCAGCGAGUAGUGUUUGCAUACUUAAAAGCCAGCCUAACUCUCUUACAAAGUAUACUCUGAAGUAAGAUGCAUAUAAAACAUAAAAUACUAUUUGAUGGCACAGUAGGGUGACUGUAGUCAGUGGUAGCUUAAUUGCAUAUUUUAAAAUAAUGUAAAGAGUGUAAUCAGAUUGUUCAUAACUCAAGGGAUAAAUGCUUAAGGGGCUGGAUACCCCAUUCUCUGUGAGUGCUUAUGUUCACAUUGCAUGCCUGUAUUGAAACAUCUCAUGUACCCCAUAAAUGUCUACAUCUACAAUGUAUCCACAAAAAAUCUUAAUUUAAAAAAUUUGUAAAAAUCUGUAUAUAAAAUACUUAAAAGGUUAAUUUAAAUUCGAAUUCUGGAAGGAUUUUUUUAAUGAAAGGAAGUUCUGAAACUGCUGAUUUAGGGAUAUAAUAAAACUUAAAUAUGGUUCUAGUUACAUGGAGUGAUUUGGGUUUCUUAGAAAAGAAGGGUAAAAGGAAUGUGAUGUAAUAGACAACUGGUCAUCAAUAAGAAUAAACUGAAUUUUU